rnacentral:rRNA from 1 species
CGGGUGAGUAACACGUAUCCAACCUGCCGUCUACUCUUGGCCAGCCUUCUGAAGGAAGAUUAAUCCAGGAUGGCAUCAUGAGUUCACAUGUCCGCAUGAUUAAAGGUAUUUUCCGGUAGACGAUGGGGAUGCGUUCCAUUAGAUAGUAGGCGGGGUAACGGCCCACCUAGUCAACGAUGGAUAGGGGUUCUGAGAGGAAGGUCCCCCACAUUGGAGCUGAGACACGGUCCAA